GUCUCGUUCAGCAAAAUGAACGAAUCUUUUUUCGAGUCAUUUCAAAUGAACGAACAACCAGAAGGUUCAGGAAGAAAAAAACAAAGUGCUUGCAGUCUGUUUCACAUUAGGAGGCAUUUUGCUGCAUAAUCGAUCCACCACAAACCAUAUACAACUAUGGAAGCUCAACUUCCAUUAAAUGGACUGAAAACGCUCAAGUAACGUUAUAGGUCUCAAAACGCUUGCUCUGCGCCAGUGAAUACACACCAUAGACAGUAAAAGAAAUAUGUGCAUGUCACAGACUCUCUGGGCAUGCACUUCCGCGUUUCAGAGAUCCGCCUUUUACUUUCCGUCAACAUUACAUUAAUUAACGUUUAGAAAAUAGAUUUUUGACAUUUGUGAAUCAAUUAAGAAUCGUCUGCUUAUGCAUUGCGAUACAUUUAAGAAUCUAAUUUUUAUCCCACCCCUACUAAAUAUAGUAUAUAAUGUAAAUGUAAAAAUCUGAAAUACAAAAUAAUAAUAAUAAUAAUAAUAAAUAAAAUGGUAUAGGUAUUAAUUACUAUUGUGAUAUUGAUUGUUAUAGGAGACACUUUGAAAGUGAGCACUGGAUGCUGAGUAUUGAAGGCGAGGUGGUGUGUGAGGGCAUUCAGCCCAGUUUCCUGUCCGGCCUUGCCACUCUGUUUGCUGCUUAUUACUAGUUUAAUCUUGAGUAUCAGGAGGAAGCAGUGUGUACCUUGGAGUUCAUUCAAAGGUGCUUUGUGGGCAUAAAUCCAGAGAGAGGAUCCAAAGCCAAGGGAAAAGUGCCAUCGAAAUAAAAACAGGACAAGUGAUACAGAAGAAAAUGUGUGGCAGUCAACCCACAUGUUGCCACUCUUCUGUGCAAAUUCCAAUGGAAUUUCUGAAAUUCACACUUUGAAUCCUGGGAUUGAACUUCAUCUGGAGCAUAAUUGUUAUUUGGUUGAUUUUUAUCUGUUUGAUGGAAAGUUUGUAUGACUUCUGCAAGUGCGCGGCUCCUUCCGGUCAGUCAUGCAUCACUUUUUUUUGUAUGACUUGUUUGGCAAUAUUGGUCUAUUCUUUCUAUCUGAAAAUGUCUUUGUGGUUUUUAAAGGAUUAGUUCACCCAAAAAUGAAAAUUAAGUCAAUAAUUACUUAUGUCGUUCCACACCCGUAAGAUCUUCGUUCAUCCUCACAACACACAUUAAGAUGUGGCUCAGUGAAGCCUGCAUUUCUAGCAAGAUCAUUUUUUUUUUCAAUGCCCAGAAAGCCUCUAAAACAUUUAAAUUCAUGUGACUACAGUUGUUCAACCUAAAUAUUAUAAAGCGACGAGAAUACUUUUUUUGCCAACCCCCCAAAACAACGAUUUUAUUCAACCAUAUCUAGUGAUGGGCGGUCUCAAAACAGUGCUUCAUGAAGCUUAGAAGCUUUACGAAUCUUUUGUUUCAAAUCAUUUGCUCAGAACGUGUAUCAAACUGCAAAAGUCACAUGAACCAUUGAAAUUUCAAAACACUUAUGACAUAACGAAGCCUCAUUUACUGAAAUCAUGUGAGUUUGGCAGUUUGAUAUGCUCUGAUUUGAACUGAAAGAUUAA